GCCUCCACCAACACUGCACAACAUGGGUGCAUUUACACAUAUGCAGGCAAAACACUCAUACACAUAAAAAAAUCUAAUAUAAAGAAAAAAAUGUGUAAGUCCUAAUAAGGAAUUCUAUUUGGAUGAGGUAACUAUGAACUUCUUUUUCAUUUCUUUUUGAACUUUUGAGCCUAUUUCAGUUAGAAAGUGACUGUAGAUAAGUGAAAAUUUGAAAACCUUUUUAACCUGGAAAUUUCUGAGAAAUAAACACAGUUCCAGCCUUACCAAAGUUUAGUUCUCAGUGAUUCAUACUUAGGAGAAUCUACCACACCUAUCCUGAUUGGCACUAAGAGCAGGCAGAGCCAUCUUUCCUCACCCACUUUCUGUGCCGAGUCUGAGAGGGAAGGAACAGGAAGAAAAGGAAAAGUCCAGAAAGAAGCCGAAGAACUAGAACAACUAUGAAACUGGAUAUGCUGUAUAACAUGAGCUUCAGCUGGUCUGGAAACUAAAAUGUUCUGUCAGGGAUGGCUGAGUGUUGUACAGUCGCCUGCAUGCAUCCGUGAGUCCACAGCUGAGUGGGAGAGCAAGGAGAGGCAGGCAGUGAGCCAGCUAACAAGAGAAUGACAUUCUGCUAGCUCUUGUCAUGUGAUUCAUUGUCCACUGCACAGACUUCAGGCACUUCAGGCUGUCUCCAUAUCCACAUGGCUAUGACCCUGUGGUGCACUGUAUUGCAGUCCCUGACACAGGGCAACUCUGGUAUAGAGAGAAAAGCCCCGCUUUCUAGCCCUGACCUAGGGAGAAAGCACUUGACUCCUGAGAGGAGAGAAGACUUGUCAACAGCACCAGGAAUUCCAGAGCCAACAUUGCUGGGGCAACUCAGAGAAAACCUGUGAGAAGCCAUGGCAUGUCCAGCCUGGAGGACAAGCGCCAAGCACGUCACACUGUGGCCCAGCCCUGAGGAAAUCAGGAGGCUAUGCGGAGACCUAGGAGGGUUUUUGGCUCAGAGUCCUCUUUGGAGUUCCCAGGGUAGAUGCCUAGGCCCCAGGCUCAGCAAGCACAGGGGUGCAGGGCUUCCAUGUAUUUUUGCUUAAGUCUCCUCAGGGAAACAAAUUCUCUCCUGCUUGUAGUGAGAGGAAUGAAAUAACUAUGAAAAUUGUAAAAGUCUAUGUCCUUUGACCGAGUAAUUAAUUUCACUUCUAGGAAUUCCCUCUGCAAAGACAUGUGCACAUUGUGUGAUAAGUGACACAGCAAAAACUAGAGACAAACCCCUGUCCAAAAUGGUUCUUUUAAAACAGUUGUAUGUCUGGGCAAUGAAUGCUCUAUCUUUUAAAGAUGAGUAGGAGAGUGCUGUUCAAAUUGAGGUGGAAGCAGCUCCAAGAUGUAUAUUAAGUCAAAAAAUUAAAGAGCAGAACAGUG